GACGAACGCUGGCGGCGUGCUUAACACAUGCAAGUCGAACGGAAAAGCCCUGCUUUUGUGGGGUGCUCGAGGGGCGAACGGGUGAGUAACCCGGGAGUAACCUUCCCUGGACUUUGGGAUAACUUCAGGAAACUGGGGCUAAUACCGGAUAGGAGCUCCUGCUGCAUGGGGGGGUUCGGAAAGUUUAGGCGGAGGGGGCUGGAUGCGGGGCUUAUGAGCUUGUUGGGUGGGUAGUGGCUUACCCAGGCUUCGAAGGAUAGCCGGCAUGGGAGGGGGGACGCGGACCAUGGGCCUGAGAGAGGGAGCAGACGCCAAUGGGAGGCAGCAGGGGGGAAUAUUGCACAAUGGGCGGAAGCCUGUUGAAGAAACGCCGCGUGCGGGAUGAAGGCUUUCGGGUGGUAAACGGCAUUAGCCUGUGACGAAGCGUGAGUGACGGUAAUGGGUAAAGAAGCACCGGCUAACUACGUG
rnacentral:rRNA from 1 species